rnacentral:tRNA from 4 species
GGAUGGGUGGCCGAGUGGUUUAAGGCACCGGUCUUGAAAACCGGCGUGGGUGCAAGCCCACCGUGGGUUCGAAUCCCACCCCAUCCGCCA